rnacentral:siRNA from 1 species
UGGAGUAUAGCCAAGUGGUAAGG